ACACAAACUUAACAACAUAGUAAUCUCAAAAUGUAUGUUAUUUACUAAGGUAACUCAAAAGUUAUAAGUAACAUAAAAGAUCAAACCUGACACAAACUCAUUAUCAAUACUGUAAAUUCUAACAGUUUUUAGGCAAUUAUUACUAGAAUGUUGACAAUGCAAGGACAAAUUGCAAUAUUAGUUAUUGCGAGUUCAUGAAAUGCUGCUUAAAAAUAAUUCUGUCUAUUUUAAAAAUUUAAGUAUUUUUAUUUUUAUUUUUACUUUAUUAGUCUCGUCGCAAUUUUUGCACUGUUUAUAAAAACAUUGAAAAAAAUCUAGAAACUAGUUACUUACAGUGUUGAAUCUGACACGUCAUUUGGAUAUCUUCACCGAAUAGUAGAUAUGGAAAUUUACAUUUGUAUGUUUGUAUAUAAUAAGACACGUUAAAGAUAUGUUUGAGGGGUUGGUUUGAAUGUGACAGGUAAAUAUAACAUAUUAUUUUCAAAAUAAAAAUCGUGUAACGGUGUAAUAAUUGUUGCUAUGCUAAAUGUGAUGAAAUUAUUAAAUAUUAAUAUCCAUGAACACAGUUAACUGUAAGUGUAAGACGCUUACGGGGGACUGGUUAUGGAAACGAGAUCUAAUACUGCUAGGUUUUUUCUGUAUAAUACUGAGUGUGUCAUACAAUACAUAUUUUUCCUAACCAAUGAACAGACCAUACUCCAGAGUAACCGAUUUAGGGCGUUUGUCUGGCUCUAAAUGUAAAACAAAAAACUAGUGUCAAAAACAUGAUCUAUUUAAACGUUUUGAUACAAAACAAAACUAAAAUUCCGUCGGUGUGGCUUACAUAGCCCAUCAAUGAAAGUUAUGUAAUUUUAUAUGUAUAAUUCACCAUUAGCCGUUUCUGUCGAAAUGCAGACAGCCCGCAGAUUACACCUAUGAGGUUAACAUAUCUGCCUGUCCAAUACUCAAAAAUGUUGCCUUGUAGCAUUCAAUUUAAAAAUGAAAUACCAAGUUAUUUUAUCAGUUAAAAUACUUUUUAUUUAUAUAUAGAUAUUUAAAAAAAGUAUUCAAAAUACUGUAAAAUUAAAUGUAUAAGGACAUAAAAAGAUACAUACAUGCUUUUAAUAUAAAGCAAAACAUAAGAACUGUUUCAAUUUUUUUUUAUCACUAACACAUACUUUCAAUAUCGAGGUAAUGGUUAAUUAUAGAUUCGUUUGAUUUAAAAUUAUUACAAUGAGGUAGGCCUGUGAGUCAUCAUAAAAAUUCAAAACAUUUUAAAAACAAAUUGUUGGAAAAAGGUUUGUCUAGUUAAUUCUCGAGCAACAUACAUUUUGAACAUACCUAUAUUAUAUAAGAACAGGAAUUUACCAGCUCAUAUUUCUGUUUCAGUUCAAAUGCUUCUCAUAUUCUGAUAUUAAUUUCAAAUAAGUGUAAAUGUGUGAUUGUGCUGUGUCUAAUUUAAUGGUUUGUUGAUUGUUAUCAUGCUAAUGCUCUUAAAGUUUGAAAAAGAUUUAAAAAAUAUACAUAAUAUUUUACUACGUUUGUUUUUUUCACACAGGUUGACAUUAUACUUUAUCUUAUAUCAAAUAUAAAUUUAAAAUAAAUAAAAAUAAAUGUAUUAUGAUCAGUUAUAACAUCCAGUAAAUCAAACUGAUUAGUAGCGAUUCUAUGACACCUAUCGUACUCCAUUCAGAUAUUUCAGAUAUACUAGUACAUCACUUCUAUUCAUACCUACAUGUAUCUACACAAUUUCUAUUUAAACAAUCUACAACAGAACAACAUUGAUAUAGGCAUACACCGCUCGUACAAAUACAGAUCUGCAGUUGUUCUGACUCCGAUAAAGGUCUUUGAUAUCCUUCAUAUAGCGUGUACAUUUAUAUGUUCACAACUUUUUUGAUACACUCAGACGCAGUGUUUGCUCUACAGAGACAUACUUGGUGCAUACUAGAAUUUUGAUUUUUACAGACGAUUGAUAUAAACGUUAUCAUGGUUAUUGCAGUCAUCAGAUUUUUAUGAUCUGUUUUACAUCAACCCAUUAGUAGUAGGUAAAACAUUCAAACGUUGUUAAAACAUCUGACAAUAACAAUAUAGAGUCUGAUCAUGGAAGUAAUAUUGAAAGGAAUAACAUGUCGUCACUUCAAAGGUUUCAUCUGCG
rnacentral:lncRNA from 1 species